GUGUCAGCCGCCGCGGUAAUACAGAGGGUGCAAGCGUUAAUCGGAUUUACUGGGCGUAAAGCGCGCGUAGGCGGCUAAUUAAGUCAAAUGUGAAAUCCCCGAGCUUAACUUGGGAAUUGCAUUCGAUACUGGUUAGCUAGAGUGUGGGAGAGGAUGGUAGAAUUCCAGGUGUAGCGGUGAAAUGCGUAGAGAUCUGGAGGAAUACCGAUGGCGAAGGCAGCCAUCUGGCCUAACACUGACGCUGAGGUGCGAAAGCAUGGGGAGCAAACAGGAUUAGAUACCCUGGUAGUCCAUGCCGUAAACGAUGUCUACUAGCCGUUGGGGCCUUUGAGGCUUUAGUGGCGCAGCUAACGCGAUAAGUAGACCGCCUGGGGAGUACGGUCGCAAGACUAAA
rnacentral:rRNA from 1 species